rnacentral:rRNA from 1 species
CGUAGGGGGCAAGCGUUGUCCGGAUUUAUUGGGCGUAAAGCGCUCGCAGGUGGUCCGUUGCGUCGUGCGUGAAAGACCCCGGCUCAACCGGGGGUGGUCGUGCGAUACGGGCGGACUGGAGGCCAGUAGGGGGAUGCGGAAUUCCGGGUGUAGUGGUGGAAUGCGUAGAGAUCCGGAGGAACACCAGCGGCGAAGGCGGCAUCCUGGACUGGUCCUGACACUCAGGAGCGAAAGCGUGGGGAGCGAUCCGGAUUAGAUACCCGGGUAGUCCACGCCGUAAACGAUGAGCACUAGGUGUCGGGGGUAUCGACCCCCUCGGUGCCGCAGCUAACGCGAUAAGUGCUCCGCCUGGGGACUACGGCCGCAAGGCUA